GAUGAACGCUGGCGGCGUGCCUAAUACAUGCAAGUCGAGCGAACAGACGAGGAGCUUGCUCCUCUGACGUUAGCGGCGGACGGGUGAGUAACACGUGGAUAACCUACCUAUAAGACUGGGAUAACUUCGGGAAACCGGAGCUAAUACCGGAUAAUAUAUUGAACCGCAUGGUUCAAUAGUGAAAGACGGUUUUGCUGUCACUUAUAGAUGGAUCCGCGCCGCAUUAGCUAGUUGGUAAGGUAACGGCUUACCAAGGCAACGAUGCGUAGCCGACCUGAGAGGGUGAUCGGCCACACUGGAACUGAGACACGGUCCAGACUCCUACGGGAGGCAGCAGUAGGGAAUCUUCCGCAAUGGGCGAAAGCCUGACGGAGCAACGCCGCGUGAGUGAUGAAGGUCUUCGGAUCGUAAAACUCUGUUAUUAGGGAAGAACAAAUGUGUAAGUAACGAUGCACGUCUUGACGGUACCUAAUCAGAAAGCCACGGCUAACUACGU
rnacentral:rRNA from 1 species